AAGCCCUGCGGUGUUCGACACACCAGAUUGCAAAUCUUGAAUCGCAAACGAGAGUUUGCCGGGGCUUC
rnacentral:tRNA from 1 species